rnacentral:rRNA from 1 species
UGGGGAAUAUUGGACAAUGGGCGAAAGCCUGAUCCAGCCAUGCCGCGUGUGUGAAGAAGGUCUUCGGAGUGUAAAGCACUUUAAGUUGGGAGGAAGGGCAGUAAGCGAAUACCUUGCUGUUUUGACGUUACCGACAGAAUAAGCACCGGCUAACUCUGUGCCAGCAGCCGCGGUAAUACAGAGGGUGCAAGCGUUAAUCGGAAUUACUGGGCGUAAAGCGCGCGUAGGUGGUUCGUUAAGUUGAAUGUGAAAGCCCCGGGCUCAACCUGGGAACUGCAUCCAAAGCUGGCGAGCUAGAGUAGGGCAGAGGGUGGUGGAAUUUCCUGUGUAGCGGUGAAAUGCGUAGAUAUAGGAAGUAACACCAGUGGAGAAGGCGACCACCUGGGCUCAUACUGACACUGAGGUGCGAAAGCGUGGGGAGCAAACAGG